rnacentral:pre_miRNA from 1 species
AUACAAAUCACCUGGGAUCUUGUUAAAAUGCCAAUUCAAAUUUAGUAGGUCUAAGGCAGGGCCCAAGAAUUUGCAUUUCUAACUAGUUCCCAGGUGAUGCCAAU